rnacentral:rRNA from 1 species
UACAGAGGUGGCAAGCGUUGCUCGGUAUCACUGGGCUUAAAGGGCGCGUAGGCGGUGCGGUACGGUUUCGGUGAAAUCCCUCGGCCCAACCGAGGAACAGCCGGAGCUACGGCCGGACUAGACGGCAUCAGGGGACAGUGGAACUCCAGGUGGAGCGGUGAAAUGCGUAGAUAUCUGGAGGAACACCGGUGGCGAAGGCGACAUCCUGGACCGGUAUUGACGCUGAGGCGCGAAAGCCAGGGGAGCAAACGGG